CAAAAAGCAACAUAGGAAGAGAGAGGCACAAUGAAAGAUUCAUGAUUGGACAAGUGACCUGUUACAUAGGGGAAACCUGCAGACUCAGUAUCUAAUAAUAGCCACCUGCCCAUUCCUUAAACUAAUGUUAACUAGUAAGCUGGAUUGUUUUUUCAAUGCCCCCAAAAGCAGAGAAGAAAUCAUUGCUAGAGCAUUGCAAUGCAUGUUAGAGAACUGGUUUAAUGCAAAGACUACAUUUUUCAAAACUACUAAGUAUCUGGAUUUCUGUAACUAAUUUCUACCACCAAAUAGGAAGUUAGAGAUAGUGUAAUGGCUUGUAUAUGUUUGGGCAGAGGAGUGGCACUAUUAGGAGGUGUGACCUUGUUGGAGUAGGUGUGUCAUUGUGGAUAUGGGUUUUAAUACCCUACCCCUAGCUGCCUGGAAGGAAGUAUUCUGCUAGCAGCCUUCAGAUGAAAAUGUGGAACUCUUAGCUCCUCCUGCACCAUGCCUGCCUAGAUGCUGCCAUGCUCCUGCCUUGAUGAUAAUGGACUGAACCUCUGAAUCGGUUUACAGCAAUGAACCGAAGCAGGCAUCUGAGGAGCCAGAGAGGAACUGAUGUGAAGAGCAUCCUCCUAGAGCCUCUGUUUGCCGUGAUCUAUAAAAUGGAGCUCAGCAUUCAUUUACAUCAGAGUAAGCAAGGAGGAUUAUCUGACAUAACAUGUAAAGGACGGGCAUCGUGUUGAGGGUAGUACACAUGCGAUAAGUCAGAUGAUUUUGUGUUUUGUGCAUCCUUCGAUUUUAAAACUGCCUAAUUACCACCAGUAGGUAACGUUUCCUAUUUGUCACUGUUUAAGGAAACCAAGAAGACAAAUGAUGCGUCUAUUAUCAUAAGAGUCCCCUACACCCUGAAAUAUUCAAAAAUAGCGUGUAACUUGCAGGAGUCAGUCCUCUCCUUCCACCACAUCACUCAUGAUGAUCAAACUCAUGUGGCCAGCAGCUGCAUUUAUCCAUGGAGCCAUCUUGCCAGGCCAUGACCUGGGAAGGACAUCAGCAUGAGGAUACAGGUGAAACUGAAUUGGCUGUGAGUUUGUAAUGGUAAAGCUGAAUGGUGGAUAUGUAGUGGUUGUUUGUAUUUUUCUGUCUGAUAAAUGUUUUAAUUUUUUCCAUGACAAAAAUAAGAGAAAGAAAGAAAACUAGGAGAAAGAAAAGAAUUGGUAACUAUGGGGUUCAAAAAGUAUCUGUUAAAACUAUUCCAGGCUUAAGACAAAGGAAAAGGGAUGAGGAUUUUUUUUCCUUUUACACAGAAUAACUAGAAAUCCCUAGAAAGAUGCCAGGUGGCUCAAGACAAAGAUAUACUGUCACACUUAUGGAUGAGAUUAGUUUCCAAUUGGCUUCAAAUUGAUUCCAGGGUCAGGAGUUUUAGAAGAAGCUCCAUAAAUAACUUACAUAGUGGAACUAUGUAUAAUAAUCACUCAUUUGACAUUUUCUGCUUUCCAGUUUUUAUUUUUAAAUGCAUAUAAAAUUUCUCAGCUAUGAGCCUUUUUUUCUCUUCCUACAUCUGGUACCCAUGAUACACAAAAGGCCAGUUCUCUAUUUUUAGCUUUUGUGGGUCUGAGCAUUACUUCUAGGUUCAAUAGAUUAAAAUGUUCAUUGAUACAUGUUUGGAGGACAAGGUAAUUUCAUAAACUGGGUGCUGAAUAUCAAUGGACUCAUGCAGAAUUAUGAUGAUUUUGAUAAAAUAUAAUAAUGUCUUAUUAACUGCAUAAACCACUGAAGCAUAAUAUGAAGUGUUGACAUAGUAAUCAAAAUCAAACUAACAGAGGUGUCCCCACUUGUAUUUGUGAAACCACGAUACUUAUAAAGCUUAGUAACUGUAUUAAAACAGCUUUCUAUAUAUUCCUGCCUGUGUUGAUGAGUAUCAAGUCUCAAUUAGUGGGCCAACCACAUUAUUUUUCAAAUUAAUGUCUAAUUUGUAAAUAUCUAUUAUAUCUUUGCUUGGGCCGUAAAAACUCGUAAGAAAAAUCAAUUUCUGCCUAAAACAAAACGAAACAAAACCAAAAGCUGAACGUUAGAAUUCACCUUAGAAGCAAAGCCUUCUACAACAUUUGCUGUUUGCUUGUCUCGAAUUGACCUCCACACUAGCUUGCAUAAGAAGGACAAAUUCUAGAUCAUAGAAAUCAUGAUCUAGAACUUGCUUAAACUCAUAAAUAUAGAUGACAAGGUCCUUUCGGAUCUGUCUCCAAUGCCACAUCUCAGAGCGACAGGAAAUCCUCUUCGUGAAUCAUUCUGUGUGGAUUGACUUGAACUUUACAUAACCAGUGGACAGCUUUGUGGCUGCUGUAAGGGAUUGCAAACCUCCAGUUGCAUUAAACUUGUUAUAGCAAGGGUGUCUGCACUUGGAAAGAUUCCAACUGGUGCUCCACCAGGGAAAUUUUUCCUUUAUACUUAUCCUUGAUGGUUUAUGCUUGAUGUAGCAGUUUGGUCAGGUAGAAAACCUGGCUCUCAUCAUUUCUGGUUUCAAACUGUCUCUUAACACCCUAAGACUGAAAUAAUGAGUGAGUCUUCUUCAAUGUUUCUUCAAACAAAUGUUUCUCAAAAUCAUAGAGAAAUAUCUAGUCCCCCACACCCAAGUAAUUCAUUGCUAUUUCAAUUUGUUCCUGGAAACAUGCAAAUUACAAUGUUUUGUAUUAAGGAAAUGUAUCUUCUAUUAUGUUAAAUUGUGAAAAAUAAUGUGUGUGUUCUUAGCCAUACUAAAGACAAUCAUUAAAAUACUCUUAAGCCGCGCCAGGAGCUGAGAGACUCCACUUCUGCUCCAUGCUGGCCCACCCCGAGCCGAGAGCUGCUGGCAGAGGACUACGCUGUUGCUGAUCACAGUGGAGUAAAGAGCACAAAUAAAGGAUUAUGGAAGGACUGGGGCCUGAGUCACCUCAGGUCAGUUCCAGGUCACAUGUGCCUCUAGACUAUGUGACAUUUAGAUAUCCCAGGUCACCCCAAGACAGAUUAUACUCUAGUCCUCUUUUGGCUUCAUGACCUGUACUUGGAAGCUCUUGUGAAUCCUCCUUAUCCUUCAAGAGAAAAUAGAUGAUGAAUGCUCAAUGGUGCACAGAACGGGCAUGCUUUCCUACUCAGCCACACCAACAAGAAGCCAUUGUGUCUUGGGUAAUGAACCAAAACUCUGGCUCUAGGAGCAAGUCAUUCUUUCACCAUCUCUCCUUUCCCAUCUCGUUCUUUCUUCCCUCUUCUCCAUGACCCCUUUCCUUUUCUUUUUCUUUUUCUCAUUCUUUCUCUCAGAUUCUCUUUUUAUUCCUUUGGCAGGGGUCUCACCAUAUAGGGCUGCCUGCCUGACCUGGAACUUAACUAUUUAGAUAAGCCUGGCCACGAACACAGACCAAUCUGCCUGCCUCUGCCUUCUCAAUACUGGGAUUACAGACAUGGCUACCUCAUUCUGCUUGCUGUAUCAGGCAUCCCAAGGAAGUGUCUCCUGUCUCGAUCCUCUGUUUCCAGAAUCACAAUGUGUGAUUUCAGCUGGUUCACUAGAAUCAAAAAGUUGGCAAAUAACCAUAGUAUUUGAGGACCAGAGACUGUUACAUAAUCAUCCUUUGGUGGAGACAAUGAGGUCAUAUGUUUGCCCAUCUAAUUGCUGAUCAGGGACACGUUUGAUUGCAAAUAAUUUCCUCGCUGGCCCACAACUUAAUUACUAAGUGUCUGAAUCGACAAAGCUUUUAGAUGUAGGUCUUGCCUAAUGGUGCAUUUGUUAGAGAUCAUUGCCUUCAUUUGGCCCCUAAAUGAAAGGUCUCGGGGAUAUGACGGACCACUGCCAACACUGCUCCCAAUGACCUCAUAUUGGAAAAUAUGCCAAUUCCCACGGUUUAUUCUCUAGCCAGCAAUGGGCUUUAUUGUUUAUGUCCAGGGCCAAAGAGAAUGAGCGCCUCGGAAUGUCAGAUAUUGGUAAAACCUCUGGUGGAAGCACAAUUUUGGGGAAACUUGGUGUUACUCAACCUAGAGAAAAAGGUUUCUCAUUCCCAGUGUCACAAGGAAACUCGGUUGAGAGAAGUCGAGCAGGCAUGUGCAGCCUUUCAGCAUUUUCACCCAAUGUUGUCAUCUCCAGAGUUCAUGCUUGAGAAGCACACAAUCAAAUCAUACAUACAAAAAGUGUUUUAAGUAACUUUAUGAUUUUGUGUUAGCCUAUAUUCACAGCUAUCCUGUGCUAAAUGCAGCCUGUCAGUCAUGAGUUAAAUAUACGUGGGAAGAAAUAGGCAAGAGAGGAGUCUAUGGGUAGGCACCCACACAAUAGAAGAGGACCUAGCUAGAGAUGGAGGAGUCCCAUGGUUGUCCUACUUAGAGUAAUUUCUCCAGCUUAAGUGCUUCCCCCCAUCUCAUUAGACAUACAGGAAGGUAGCUUGCAUAGGAUCAUGGAUGACAUUAGUGUGUUCUACAAUGCUGUUGAAAAGAACUUCUCAGAACACUGCCCUGUCUAGAGCAAUGUAGAAGAGCAAAUGCUGAGAAGUCAGGGUAGAAAGGCAGGGCAAAUUAUGGAAACCCAGAAAUGUCCACCCAUAGAUAUUCGAAUGGU
rnacentral:lncRNA from 1 species